rnacentral:siRNA from 1 species
AAGCAAGCCUACGCUCUGGAUAC